GAAGAGCUUGCUCUGAGGUAGACCGAGUGGCGGACGGGUGAGUAACGCGUGAGGAACCUGUCUUACACAGGGGGAUAACGCACCGAAAGGUGUGCUAAUACCGCAUAAGACCACACUUUCGCAUGGAAGAGGGGUCAAAGGAGAAAUCCGGUGUAAGGUGGACUCGCGUCCCAUUAGGCAGUUGGCGGGGUAACGGCCCACCAAACCGACGAUGGGUAGCCGACCUGAGAGGGUGAUCGGCCACAUUGGAACUGAGACACGGUCCAAACUCCUACGGGAGGCAGCAGUGGGGAAUAUUGGGCAAUGGGCGCAAGCCUGACCCAGCAACGCCGCGUGAGGGAAGAAGGUUUUCGGAUUGUAAACCUCUGUCCUCGAUGAAAAGUAGAAGAUGGUAAUUGAGGAGGAAGCCCCGGCUAACUACGUGCCAGCAGCCGCGGUAAUACGUAGGGGGCGAGCGUUGUCCGGAAUGAUUGGGCGUAAAGGGCGUGUAGGCGGCCUGGUAAGUCUGGAGUGAAAGUCCUGCUUUCAAGGUGGGAAUUGCUUUGGAUACUGUCGGGCUAGAGUGCAGGAGAGGUUAUCGGAAUUCCCGGUGUAGCGGUGAAAUGCGUAGAGAUCGGGAGGAACACCAGUGGCGAAGGCGGGUAACUGGACUGCAACUGACGCUGA
rnacentral:rRNA from 1 species